rnacentral:rRNA from 1 species
GAUGAACGCUGGCGGCGUGCCUAAUACAUGCAAGUCGAGCGAAUGGAUUGAGAGCUUGCUCUUAUGAAGUUAGCGGCGGACGGGUGAGUAACACGUGGGUAACCUGCCCAUAAGACUGGGAUAACUCCGGGAAACCGGGGCUAAUACCGGAUAACAUUUUGAACCGCAUGGUUCGAAAUUGAAAGGCGGCUUCGGCUGUCACUUAUGGAUGGACCCGCGUCGCAUUAGCUAGUUGGUGAGGUAACGGCUCACCAAGGCAACGAUGCGUAGCCCACCUGGGAGGGUGAUCGGCCACACUGGGACUGGUACAGGGCCCAGACUCCUACGGGAGGCAGCAGUAGGGAAUCUUCCGCAAUGGACGAAAGUCGGACGGGGCAACGCCGCGUGAGUGAUGAAGGCUUUCGGGUCGUAAAACUCUGUUGUUAGGGAAGAACAAGUGCUAGUUGAAUAAGCUGGCACCUUGACGGUACCUAACCAGAAAGCCACGGCUAACUACGUGCCAGCAGCCGCCGUAA